GAAGGCUAGCAGCAGAUCAAGACAUAGAACUCUCCUCCGGCACCAUGUUUGUCUGCACACCACCAUGAAGAGCAGAGACUGAACCUCUGAGCUUGACAUUUGAAGAAAGAAGAUGGCAGAACAGAGUGGCCAGGGCUGAAAGGAACAGAAC